CGAGCGAGACACCUGGGCAGCGCCCUCCCAGCGGCACCGUUCUGAAGGGAAGGGGGCGCCGCACGCUGCCCGCUCGGGCACUCUCCCUACCUCUCGCUCUUCCGCGACACAAAGCUAACUCAGGCCCUCUUUCUGCAGUUUGAAGCCAAACUCCCAAUUUUAUUUUUUCUUUCUCCUUACGGAUGUAUAUGGGGAAGAAAGGCUCAUGCAUUGCCCCCAAAAAUGUUCCCUGCCUCAACCGUUGACCCGGGUACCCCACAGUUACCUGUUUGCAAAAUGCCUUUGGAGUGGUGGGGAGGGGGCGCUUUGCGUCUCUUUCUCCCAGGGGUUUUUAUCAGGGUGGAGACAGCGACUGAAGCAGAUUGCUGACUCCAAUCCCAGAGUGCACCCAAGUCUGCUGCAGGUCCCACACAGGCAGCCCAGCACUACGGGAAAUGUUGUUGCCGCUGCUUCGCUUGGGAGGAACACUGGGAGCUGGAGACAGCUGUCCGCCUCCGGGGACUGGCGUCCUCCUCUUCCUCCCCUGCACCCGACUUCUUGCCAGGGGCCCGUGUGCCUUGUGACACGGAAGAGCUGUCAUGAGAUCCUGACCCCGCUCGGUGGCCUGCUAGUUGGACAAUAGCCGGGCACCUCCUCGGCGAAGAGGACUUCCCUGCCAAGCCAGGUGGAUGCCCUGAAACUCCCUCCCCGCUGCUGAUGUAGCCUCCAGUAGUAGUAAUAAUAAUAAAUAAUUGAUAAUAAUCAUUCACC
rnacentral:lncRNA from 1 species